GCCUGCACCUACUGCUCAAUCCAUGCCUCCAUCUCAGCCUCGAGCAUAUGAAUAUCCACAUUACUAGAGUUCUCUGUAGUAUCCUGAGUGUAUCGACGUAUGUCAGAUAAUUGAGUGGGGAUGACUCUAAAUCUAUAACCUCUCACUCGAUCAUAGCGGUCUAGUCCCAGCAGCUGUAUCAUAACCUGGGUCUCGAUAUGUCUGGCCUUCAUAGAUACUGAGGACUCUUCAACAUGUCCAGCAA
rnacentral:lncRNA from 1 species